AUGGGUAAGUGACGCAGUAUCCUAGUCGGAAACCCCUUUUCCAAAGGCGGGCCUAAAAAUCCGCUGCGGGCACAUCGAUGAAGUUCCUGGUGCUGGCUGCCGACGCCCAGUCGGGGGCUGGUACUGGGAGUUAAGGGGAUGGGGCGACCCGCAAGGGCAUGCGGGCGUGGACCCUGUCCCCGCGGAGACCCAAGUGCGUGGGGAGCGCGGCGAACUAUGGCUUGGGGUAUAAACCUGUACGUGGGAAAAAGCUGCGUACAGUGUAGCCUGCCUUGAGUGGUAAUGGUGGAUUCCCGACAACGCAUCCUGGACGCGGGGGCCCCCGCCGACGGGGUGUGGGCUGAAACCAUUACUGCAAAAGAGGCUAGGGGAAGGGGUCUUCCGCCGAAGAAAAUUCCUAGGCUGUCCGUAGGGGGCAGGCCGGGGAUUGCAGUGUAGUCUAAGUGGCAGUCCAGUAUCGGUAACGGUAACGUUCCGAAAACGGCCUUAAAGGGGAACCGCCCGUACGGCGACGGCGGGUGGCCGUUUGGGAAAACCUACUGGACCUCAAGCUACAAUAUUUACCCGGUCUGCUGUCACUUACCCA
rnacentral:sRNA from 1 species